rnacentral:tRNA from 1 species
GGGAAUGUGGCUUAGUGGUAGAGUGCUUGCCUAGCAUGCAUGAAGUGGGUUCGAUUCCUCAGUACCA